UGCCAGCCGCCGCGGUAAUACGAAGGGGGCUAGCGUUGUUCGGAAUUACUGGGCGUAAAGCGCAUGCAGGCGGCCUGACAAGUUGGGGGUGAAAUCCCGGAGCUCAACUCCGGAACUGCCUCCAAAACUGUUAGGCUAGAGUCCGAGAGAGGGUAGUGGAAUUCCUAGUGUAGAGGUGAAAUUCGUAGAUAUUAGGAGGAACACCAGUGGCGAAGGCGACUGCCUGGCUCGGUACUGACGCUCAGAUGCGAAAGCGUGGGGAGCAAACAGGAUUAGAUA
rnacentral:rRNA from 1 species